UAAGCGGAGGAAAAGAAACUAACAAGGAUUCCCCUAGUAACUGCGAGUGAAGCGGGAAAAGCUCAAAUUUGGAAUCUGGUGGUCUUUGGCCAUCCGAGUUGUAAUUUAGAGAAGCGUCUUCCGCGCUGGACCGUGCACAAGUCUCCUGGAAUGGAGCGUCAUAGAGGGUGAGAAUCCCGUCUUUGGCAUGGAAUCCCAGGGCUUCUGUGAUGCGCUCUCGACGAGUCGAGUUGUUUGGGAAUGCAGCUCAAAAUGGGUGGUGAACUCCAUCUAAAGCUAAAUAUUGGCGAGAGACCGAUAGCGAACAAGUACCGUGAGGGAAAGAUGAAAAGCACUUUGGAAAGAGAGUGAAACAGUACGUGAAAUUGUUGAAAGGGAAACGCUUGAAGUCAGUCGCGUCGACCGAGACUCAGCCUUGCCUCGGCUUGGUGUACUUCUCGGCUUGACGGGUCAGCAUCGAUUUCAAUCCUCGGAUAAUGGCAAGGGAAAGGUAGCACCUUUUUAGGUGUGUUAUAGUCCUCUGUCGCAUGCGAGGGUCGGGAUCGAGGAACUCAGCACGCACCUCAGGGUGUCGGGGCCUUGGCCCACGUUUACGUGCUUAGGAUGCUGGCGUAAUGGCUUUAAACGACC
rnacentral:rRNA from 1 species